CUCCAGGCGCUUCGCGGCUUCGUGAAUGCCCGCGCGGAUACGAUGAUAGGUGGCGCACCGACAGAGAUUGCCGGACAUGGCGGCGUCGAUGUCCGCGUCGGUUGGUUUGGGAUUGUUGGCCAGAAGGUCCGUUGCGGACAUGAUCU
rnacentral:sRNA from 1 species